GAUGAACGCUGGCGGCGUGCUUAACACAUGCAAGUCGAACGAUGAAGCCCAGCUUGCUGGGUGGAUUAGUGGCGAACGGGUGAGUAACACGUGAGUAACCUGCCCUUAACUCUGGGAUAAGCCUGGGAAACUGGGUCUAAUACCGGAUAGGAGCGUCCACCGCAUGGUGGGUGUUGGAAAGAUUUAUCGGUUUUGGAUGGACUCGCGGCCUAUCAGCUUGUUGGUGAGGUAAUGGGUCACCAAGGCGACGACGGGUAGCCGGCCUGAGAGGGUGACCGGCCACACUGGGACUGAGACACGGCCCAGACUCCUACGGGAGGCAGCAGUGGGGAAUAUUGCACAAUGGGCGCAAGCCUGAUGCAGCGACGCCGCGUGAGGGAUGACGGCCUUCGGGUUGUAAACCUCUUUCAGUAGGGAAGAAGCGAAAGUGACGGUACCUGCAGAAGAAGCACCGGCUAACUACGUG
rnacentral:rRNA from 1 species